UACGUAGGUGGCAAGCGUUGUCCGGAUUUAUUGGGUUUAAAGGGUGCGUAGGUGGGAGAUUAAGUCAGUGGUAAAAGGAGGCAGCUCAACUGUUAUCGUGCCAUUGAUACUGGUUUUCUUGAGUAAAGUAGAGGUAAACGGAAUUGACAGUGUAGCGGUGAAAUGCAUAGAUAUUGUCAAGAACUCCAAUUGCGAAGGCAGUUUACUGGACUUUUACUGACACUGAGGCACGAAAGUGUGGGGAUCAAACAGG
rnacentral:rRNA from 1 species